rnacentral:rRNA from 1 species
UACGUAGGUGGCAAGCGUUGUUCGGAUUUACUGGGCGUAAAGGGCGCGUAGGCGGCAAAUUAAGUCAGCUGUGAAAUCUCCGAGCUUAACUCGGAACUGUCAGCUGAUACUGAUCUGCUAGAGUGCGGAAGGGGCAAUCGGAAUUCUUGGUGUAGCGGUGAAAUGCGUAGAUAUCAAGAGGAACACCUGAGGUGAAGACGGGUUGCUGGGCCGACACUGACGCUGAUGCGCGAAAGCCAGGGGAGCAAACGGG